rnacentral:rRNA from 1 species
UACGGAGGGGGCUAGCGUUGUUCGGAAUUACUGGGCGUAAAGCGCGCGUAGGCGGUCCUGCAAGUCGGGGGUGAAUGCCCGAGGCUCAACCUCGGAACUGCCUUCGAUACUGCGGGACUCGAGUCCGGGAGAGGUGAGUGGAAUUCCUAGUGUAGAGGUGAAAUUCGUAGAUAUUAGGAGGAACACCAGUGGCGAAGGCGGCUCGCUGGCCCGGUACUGACGCUGAGGCGCGAAAGCGUGGGGAGCAAACAGG